rnacentral:rRNA from 1 species
AAACGUACGCUGGCGGCACGCCUAACACAUGCAAGUCGAACGAAGUAGCAAUACUUAGUGGCAGACGGGUGAGUAACAUGUAGGUAUCUGCCCUUUGGCCUGGAAUAACACGAGGAAACUUGUGCUAAUACCGGAUAAGUCUUUACGGAGAAAGCUUUAUGCACCAUUGGAUGAGCCUGCACUUGAUUAGUUUGUUGGUGGGGUAAUGGCCUACCAAGACUGUGAUCAAUAGCUGAUUUGAGAGGAUGAUCAGCCACAUUGGGACUGAGACACGGCCCAAACUCCUACGGGAGGCAGCAGUGGGGAAUCUUGCACAAUGGAGGAAACUCUGAUGCAGCGAUGCCGCGUGAGUGAAGAAGGCCUUUGGGUUGUAAAGCUCUUUCGUCGGGGAAGAAAAUGACUGUACCCGAAUAAGAAGGUCCGGCUAACUUCGUGCCAGCAGCCGCGGUAAUACGAAGGGACCUAGCGUAGUUCGGAAUUACUGGGCUUAAAGAGUUCGUAGGUGGUUGAAAAAGUUAGUGGUGAAAUCCCAGAGCUUAACUCUGGAACUGCCAUUAAAACUUUUCAGCUAGAGUAUGAUAGAGGAAAGCAGAAUUUCUAGUGUAGAGGUGAAAUUCGUAGAUAUUAGAAAGAAUACCAAUUGCGAAGGCAGCUUUCUGGAUCAUACUGA